AUACGAAGGGUGCGAAGCGUUAAUCGGAAUUACUGGGCGUAAAGCGCGCGUAGGUGGUUUGGUAAGCGAUCUGUGAAAGCCCCGGGCUUAACCUGGGAAUUGCAGGUCGAACUGCCAGGCUAGAGUAUGGUAGAGGGGUGUGGAAUUUCCUGCGUAGCGGUGAAAUGCGUAGAUAUAGGAAGGAACAUCAGUGGCGAAGGCGACACCCUGGACCGAUACUGACACUGAGGCGCGAAAGCGUGGGUAGC
rnacentral:rRNA from 1 species